UAUGUGGUCUAUGACAUGGACAAAAUACAAAAUAAAUAAUAAAUCGUUUAUGAGAAAUGUAAAUUUUACGAAUUAAAAUUACAAUAUAAUAUAAAUAUAAACACCAAAGAUUAUAGAGUUAUAAUCUUUGAGAUAUACUUUCUUCUAAGUACCGUUUUGUUGCAGAACUAAAAAAUGGAUACAGAUGAACUUAGUAUUAAUAUUAGAGAAGAGGUACAUCUUGCCCAUGAAGAUGUGAAGGUAGAAGAAAAAUUAGGAAUUAUAGACGUUGCUUAACAAUUUAUGGAUGGAACAGGGGUUUAUGAAAGAGAGGAAUAUAUUAUCAAGAAUGAGGAAACUAACUCAAACUGUUCAUUUACCAAUGUCGAGGAAAAUCAGUUAUCAUCUGCUCAUCAUAAGUGCUCAUCGUGUGAACACAUCGCAAGUGCUAAAAGUGACCUGCAAAGUCAUGUGAAAUGUGUACACUUUGAUACAAAAAAACACGAGUGCCAAUUAUGUGGGUACUGUACCGAUUGGAAAGAAAAUCUGAAAAAGCAUGUCGAUCAUGUACAUUUAAAAAUCAGGAACCAUAAGUGUCAUUUAUAUGCCGCUACUACAAAAAGAACUCUUCGAAUACAUAUAGAAGCUGUUCACUUAAAGGUUAAAAACUACAAGUGUGAAUUGUGUGAAUAUGCUGCACAUAUGAAGAGGACACCCCAUAAUUCAUGUGAAAACUGUUCAUUUAAAAAUCAAGGAUCACAAGUGUCAUCUAUGUGAAUACGCUACAAGUUUCAAAAAGCAGCUUCAACAACAUAUCAACUCUGUUCAUUUUGAUAUCAGGGAGCACAAGUGUCACUUAUGUGAAUAUGCUGCAAGCAUCAAAGAAACCCUCAAACUACACGUAAAAACUACUCAUGUGAGAAUUAAGAAUCAUAAGUGCCACCUAUGCGAGUAUGUUACAAAUAGGAAAAAUAGGCUUGAGAGUCAUAUUGAAUCUGUUCAUUUGAAUAUCAAAAACCACAAAUGUCAUUUAUGCGAAUUUGCUGCGAAUACAAAGCGUAACUUUGAUACUCACGUAAGAGCUGUCCAUUUGAAAAUUAAAAAACACAAGGUGCACAGUACUAAAAAGUGUCAUCUGUGCGAUUAU